UACAGAGGUGGCAAGCGUUGUUCGGAAUUACUGGGCGUAAAGGGCGCGUAGGCGGCCUUCUAAGUCGGACGUGAAAGCCCCAGGCUUAACCUGGGAACUGCGUCCGAUACUGGAAGGCUUGGAUUCGGGAGAGGGAUGUGGAAUUCCAGGUGUAGCGGUGAAAUGCGUAGAUAUCUGGAGGAACACCGGUGGCGAAGGCGGCAUCCUGGACCGAGAUCGACGCUGAGGCGCGAAAGCUAGGGGAGCCAAACGGG
rnacentral:rRNA from 1 species